AAUCAUGAUACUAUUAGAGUGUAGUUAGUAGUAACUACAAAGUCUUUUAUAUUCAUGAACAUAAUACUCCUGGAUGGCGUAACCCAGCGCCAUCCUCUUUUUU
rfam:Staphylococcus capitis strain CR03 genome assembly, contig: BN1517_Contig_5